GCAUAUCAAUAAGCGGAGGAAAAGAAACCAACAGGGAUUGCCCCCAGUAACGGCGAGUGAAGCGGCAAGAGCUCAAAUUUGAAAGCUGGCUCCUUCGGGGUCCGCAUUGUAAUUUGCAGAGGAUGCUUCGGGAGCGGUCCCCAUCUAAGUGCCCUGGAACGGGACGUCAUAGAGGGUGAGAAUCCCGUAUGGGAUGGGGUGUCCGCGCCCGUGUGAAGCUCCUUCGACGAGUCGAGUUGUUUGGGAAUGCAGCUCUAAAUGGGUGGUAAAUUUCAUCUAAAGCUAAAUAUUGGCCGGAGACCGAUAGCGCACAAGUAGAGUGAUCGAAAGAUGAAAAGCACUUUGAAAAGAGAGUUAAAAAGCACGUGAAAUUGUUGAAAGGGAAGCGCUUGCGACCAGACUCGCUCGCGGGGUUCAGCCGGCAUUCGUGCCGGUGUAUUUCCCCGCGGGCGGGCCAGCGUCGGUUUGGGCGGUCGGUCAAAGGCCCUCGGAAGGUAACGCCCCUAGGGGCGUCUUAUAGCCGAGGGUGCAAUGCGACCUGCCUAGACCGAGGAACGCGCUUCGGCUCGGACGCUGGCAUAAUGGUCGUAAGCGACCCGUCUUGAAACACGGACCAAGGAGUCUAACAUCUACGCGAGUGUUCGGGUGUCAAACCCGUGCGCGAAGUGAAAGCGAACGGAGGUGGGAACCCUUACGGGUGCACCAUCGACCGAUCCUGAAGUCUUCGGAUGGAUUUGAGUAAGAGCGUAGCUGUUGGGACCCGAAAGAUGGUGAACUAUGCCUGAAUAGGGCGAAGCCAGAGGAAACUCUGGUGGAGGCUCGUAGCGGUUCUGACGUGCAAAUCGAUCGUCGAAUUUGGGUAUAGGGGGCGAAAGACUAAUCGAACCAUCUGGUAGCUGGGUUCUGCGA
rnacentral:rRNA from 1 species